rnacentral:rRNA from 1 species
UACGGAGGGUGCAAGCGUUAAUCGGAAUUACUGGGCGUAAAGCGUGCGUAGGCGGUUCGUUAAGUCUGUUGUGAAAGCCCGGGCUCAACCUGGGAAUGGCAAUGGAUACUGGCGAGCUAGAGUGUGUCAGAGGAUGGUGGAAUUCCCGGUGUAGCGGUGAAAUGCGUAGAGAUCGGGAGGAACAUCAGUGGCGAAGGCGGCCAUCUGGGACAACACUGACGCUGAGGCACGAAAGCGUGGGGAGCAACAG